UGGCCUUGACAUAGAAAGAAUUUAGCAGAGAUGUAAAAGUGCUAGUUUACUAGAGCUUUCAUACAGGUGCUGCACGGCUGUCGUCAGCUCGUGUCGUGAGAUGUUAGGUUAAGUCCUGCAACGAGCGCAACCCUCGUGUUUAGUUACUAACAGAUUAUGCUGAGGACUCUAGACAUACUGCCUGGGCAACCAGGAGGAAGGUGAGGACGACGUCAAGUCAUCAUGGCCCUUAUGGCCAGGGCUACACACGUGCUACAAUGGGGUAUACAAAGAGCCGCAAUACCGCGAGGUGGAGCAAAUCUCAUAAAAUAUCUCCCAGUUCGGAUUGUUCUCUGCAACUCGAGAACAUGAAGUUGGAAUCGCUAGUAAUCGUAGAUCAGCAAUGCUACGGUGAAUACGUUACGCGGGUCU
rnacentral:rRNA from 1 species